CAGUUGGUUAAGUGUCAGACUCUGGGUUUCGGCUCAGGUAGUGAUCUCACAGUUCAUGAGAGUGAGUCCCAUGUUGGGCUCUGCGAUGACAGCACAGAGCCUGCUUGAGAGUCUCUCUCUCUCUCUCUCUCUCUCUCUCUCUCUCUCUCUCUCCCUCUCUCUCUGCCCCUCCCCUACUUGUGCUGUCUCUGUCUCCCUCCAAAUAAACAAACAAACAAACAAACAAACAAACAAAAAAGAUAGAAUGAGAUCAGCAGCAAAAAUUCCAACACAAUCAACCAACUGCCAAAUGACAUCUGCUGAUUAAGUCUGCUAUUGCAGAUUCUGCUCUUGCUUCCCAGGAGCAGCUGAGACAUCGUGACCAGAAAUACCAAUCAAGUUUUGUAUUAAGCUUCACUAAGACAAAUCGGGAGCUACUGAUGACACCGGAAAGAACCUGAUAAUGGAGUCGACAUGAAUGAAAACAGAGCUGAAAGCUGACAGCUACAGAUCGGAGAGAUUCCAGAGUACAUCAGCUAAGCACCUGGACCCAGCCAUAUCUGAAGUCCAGUAAUAUUUGUGGACGUGGGAGUUGCUUGCAAUGGGAGCAAGAGGGAUGUUUGUACAGCUAACAGCAUAGGAAGACAGACGUAAUACAGCUGAAAGCAGAUUUGCUGACCAGGAUGAUAAAGGACAUGCCUCCUCCCAAGGCAGAGAUCGGGUAGCAUCUUUAUGA